rnacentral:rRNA from 1 species
AAUCUUUCGCAAUGGGCGAAAGCCUGACUCAGCCUUUCCGCGUGAAUGAUGAAGGUCCUAGGACUUUAAAAUUCCUUCACCGGGGACGAAAAUGACGGUACCCGGUGAAGAUGCCCCGGCUAACUUCGCUCCAGCAACCGCCGUAAUACGAAGGGGGCUAGCGUUGCUCGGAAUUACUGGGCGUAAAGGACGCGUAGGCGGAUCGUUAAGUAAGAGGUGAAAGCACGGGGCUCAACCUAGGAACUGCCCUUGAUACUGGCGGUCUUGAGUAUGAGAGAGGUAUGUGGAACUAAGAGUGUAGAGGUGAAAUUCGUAGAUAUUCGGAAGAAAAACAGUGGCGAAGGCGACAUACUGGCUCAUUACUGACGCUGAGGCGCGAAAGCGUGGGGAGCAAACA